GAAGAGGAGAAGGGGAGAAGAGGAAAGCAGAAGAGUUCCAGGGCUAGCAGGGAACAGAAGUGACUCAAGGAGAAGCAGGACCCUGCCCAGCCCCCUCUGAGGAUGGAGGGCUCUUUGCCUAGGGGACGCACCUGCAGGAGCAGAGGAGGCCAUCGGGGCCCUCCCGGUUUCCCCAGGCUGAGCAAAGGCAGCACAGGACACAGAACACGCAUUUGAGGCUUUGCGCCGCAGCUUGGAUUUAGUUACACACUGUCUGCAAAAUGUGUCCUGGGUUGAAGCACAUCCUGGCUCUGCUCCUGGUAAACGGUGCUGCCUCUCUGCCAUUUCCCCCUCCCCAGGGGACAGCGAUUCCAUCUGCCUCCCAAGAUGGUGGUGAGGGCGGAAGGAAGGGCUGCAGCGGGGCCUGGCACCCUCUGGAGGGCCCCCAACUAUGAGUCUUGUUUGAUUCUAGGGUCUCAGACUUAGUCAUUGCCAAGUCGCGUUGGGUGGGGCGAGCGCUGCCUGGCGCCUCCAGGUCAGGGCCUGGAGCAGGUGUUGGGAGGAGGCCUGAGUCCAGCAGAGCCCGCAGCUGCCGUGGCCUUGACCAUACACGGGCAUGAAACUGCGGUCACUAUUAAUAACCACGGUGCCUUUGCCCAGGUCCAGGGUGACAGCCGCUAUAAAGCCAGGCCUGCCAGCCCCAAGCGGCUCCUUCAGCCCCCGAGAACCUUAACCCCCCUGUUGUGAGACAAAAAGAAAAGUAAGUACCAAAACCAUCUCUCCCCCCGUCCCCCUGGUCAGCCUCGUGCAGAACACGGGCCCCCGCUCGGCGGCCGGAAGUCAGACACAGAACAGUGGUGAAAUGAGAUCCCCCCUCAAAGGACGUCCGAAGCACAGAUCCGGGGUGGUACCUACUUGUCCCAGGGGAGCGGGCAGGGCAGGGCAGGGAGUUCAGGUUCUCCAUGGAAGGGACUGUCCAUCUGUCUGCGCACACACCCUCCAGUGCCUCCCAGGCAGGGAGGGGGCUGCAGACUGGCUUCCUGAUGACCCAGGUGGUUCACGCCUAUAAUCGCAGCACUUUGGAAGGCUGAGUUGGGAGGCUUCCUUGAGCCCAGGAGUUCGAGACUGGCCUGGGAAACAGAUCCCAUCUCUACAUAAAAUAAAAAAAUUAGCUGGGCACGGUGGCACGCCCUGUAGUCCCAGCUACUUGGGAGGCUGAAGCAGGAGGAUUGCUUGAGCUCAAGAGGUUGAGGCUGCAGUGAGCGAUGAGGGUGCCUCUGCACUCCAGCCUGGGUGACAGAGUGAGACCCUGCCUCAAAAAAACCCCCCAAAGAUUGCCUUCCCAGCUGGAGAAGCCACUGAGCCAGGGGCACAGCGGGGUCCUGCCUGUCUGUCCCAGGCCCCGGGAACCCUGAG
rnacentral:lncRNA from 10 species